GAUGAAGAACGCAGCGAAAUGCGAUAAGUAAUGUGAAUUGCAGAAUUCAGUGAAUCAUCGAAUCUUUGAACGCACAUUGCGCCCCUUGGUAUUCCGAGGGGCAUGCCCGUUCGAGCGUCAUUAUACCCCUCAAGCCUAGCUUGGUGUUGGGGCCUGCUGUUACCGGCAGCCCUUAAAAUCGGUGGCGGUGCCAUCUGGCUCUAAGCGUAGUAAUACUUCUCGCUACAGGGUCCCGGUGGAUGCUUGCCAUCAACCCCUAAUUUUCUAUGGUUGACCUCGGAUCGGGUAGGGAUACCCGCUGAACUUAAGCAUAUCAUAAGCGGAGGA
rnacentral:misc_RNA from 1 species